rnacentral:rRNA from 1 species
CCUACGGGAGGCUGCAGUGGGGAAUAUUGCACAAUGGGGGAAACCCUGAUGCAGCGACGCCGCGUGAGCGAUGAAGUAUUUCGGUAUGUAAAGCUCUAUCAGCAGGGAAGAAGAUGACGGUACCUGACUAAGAAGCUACGGCUAACUACGUGCCAGCAGCCGCGGUAAUACGUAGGGGGCAAGCGUUAUCCGGAUGUACUGGGUGUAAAGGGAGCGUAGACGGCGAUGCAAGCCAGAUGUGAAAGCUCGGGGCUCAACCCCGGGACUGCAGUUGGAACUGUGUGGCUGGAGUGUCGGAGAGGUAGGCGGAAUUCCUAGUGUAGCGGUGAAAUGCGUAGAUAUUAGGAGGAACACCAGUGGCGAAGGCAGCCUACUGGACGAUGACUGACGUUGAGGCUCGAAAGCGUGGGGAGCAAACAGGAUUAGAUACCCUUGUAGUC